rnacentral:siRNA from 1 species
UCGAAGACGAUCAGAUACCGUCCU